rnacentral:rRNA from 1 species
AUUGAACGCUGGCGGCAGGCCUAACACAUGCAAGUCGAGCGGAUGAGAGGAGCUUGCUCCUUGAUUUAGCGGCGGACGGGUGAGUAAUGCCUAGGAAUCUGCCCUGGUAGUGGGGGAGUAACAGUUCCGAAAGGAACGCUAAUACCGCAUACGUCCUACGGGAGAAAGCAGGGGACCUUCGGGCCUUGCGCUAUCAGAUGAGCCUAGGUCGGAUUAGCUAGUUGGUGAGGUAAUGGCUCACCAAGGCGACGAUCCGUAACUGGUCUGAGAGGAUGAUCAGUCACACUGGGAAUCUGAGACACGGUCCAGACUCCUACGGGAGGCAGCAGUGGGGAACUAUUGGACAAUGGGCGAAAGCCUGAUCCAGCCAUGCCGCGUGUGUGAAGAAGGUCUUC